rnacentral:tRNA from 1 species
AGCAGAGUGGCGCAGCGGAAGCGUGCUGGGUCCGUAACCCAGAAGUCAAUGGAUCGAAACCAUCUUUUGCUA